GCGUACCGAAAGGGAGUAUAAGAUGUGAGAUGUCAAAGUUGCAACAUCGACCUAUUCCUGAACCUCCGGUUGAAGGAAUAUGAAGUAAGAGCAUAAUCGGUAGGACCCGAAAGAUGGUGAACUACACUUGAGUAGGGUGAAGCCAGGGGAAACUCUGGUGGAGGCUCGUAGCGUUACUGACGUGCAAAUCGUUCGUCAAACUUGCGUGUAGGGGCGAAAGACUAAUCGAACCAUCUAGUAGCUGGUUCCCUCUGAAAUUUCUCUCAGGAAAGCUGGAACAGUUAAUGCAGUUUUAUCAGGUAAAAGCUAAUGAUUAGAGGAAUCGGAGUCCUGUGGGCUUUGACCUCUUCUCAAACUUUAAUGGUAAGAACUCCGAGUUAUCUUAAUUGAACGAGGAGAAUCAAUGUAUUGUUCUUAGUGGGUCCAUUUUUGGUAAGUCAGAACUGGCGAUGAGGGA
rnacentral:rRNA from 1 species